AAUGGAGCCCAGCCCCUAAAGCUCAGCAAAAUCCAGGAGAAACCUUCCUUCUCCAUUCAGGAAGUCAUUAUUGAAUGUUUCUUUACAUUAUGGAUUGUGAUACACUGAAAUGCUUGCACACUGCCUGUGUUUCUGGGAAGGGGUGUUGCUAAAUCAGAAUAAGGGAUUGUUCACAAUUUCUGUGAUUUUCUGUCUCUGUGCACUGUGAAAUUGAUGGCUGCAUGUUCUUCUGGUUCUUCUCCCUCUAGUGCAUGGACAGCAAGUCCCAUUAGUCCUCUAAUUCCUGAGGAUGACAACGCAGAGAGCCAGGCAUACCCACUCGGUUCCAGACCAGCCGAGGAUGCAGCUGAAGUCCUGGCAAAUGAGAAUGAAGAGGAGCCACAAGAUAUUGAAACAACAAGGCCCUCUGGUAGUCUCCUCUGUGUUAUUUGCAGGGGUUGCUACUCACAGGUAAGAAUCCACAAGUUGUUUUUUCUGCUUUGUGGAAGGGGAGGGGAAAAAAGGGGAGCUGCACAACUCAGUUGUCUUAGGUGGGUGCUACAGGCAGCUGGAUGGCAGCACAGCCCUUGCUGGGAAGCUCCAAGUUCCUGCAGCCCAUGCCUGCAAGUCCCUCCUUGCUGGUGUCCAUAGGGGGAGAAGCUCUUGCCAGGAUGGCACUGUCAGAUCCAGAUGUUCCUUGGAAUUCUAGCAUUGACUGAUAGAGUUCUUUAUUGCCAGUGCCUGUUGUGGUUUCCUUUCUUCAGCAGCUCUUUC